rnacentral:rRNA from 1 species
CUACGGGCGGCAGCAGUGAGGAAUUUUGCGCAAUGGGGGAAACCCUGACGCAGCAACGCCGCGUGAGCGAAGAAGGCCUUCGGGUCGUAAAGCUCUGUCAAGUGGGAAAAAAAUUCUUUGAUGAACAGUCAAAGGACUUGAUGGUACCACUGGAGGAAGCACCGGCUAACUCCGUGCCAGCAGCCGCGGUAAUACGGGGGUGCAAGCGUUGUUCGGAAUUACUGGGCGUAAAGAGCGUGUAGGCGGUUUGACAAGUCAGAUGUGAAAGCCCCGGGCUCAACCCGGGAAGUGCAUUUGAAACUGUUUCACUAGAGUAUGGGAGAGGAGAUUGGAAUUCCUGGUGUAGAGGUGAAAUUCGUAGAUAUCAGGAGGAACACCCGUGGCGAAGGCGAUUCUCUGGACCAAUACUGACGCUGAGACGCGAAAGCGUGGGGAGCAAACAGGAUUAGAUACCCCAGUAGUC